rnacentral:rRNA from 1 species
GUAAUCCAGGUCAGUUUCUAUCUAUGAAGGACCUCCUCCUAGUACGAAAGGACCGGAGAGGGGAGGCCAAUGCCUCACGCACGCCUCACCCCUACUUAAUGAAGGCAACUAAAUUAAGCAAGAGGACACAACAUCCUUAGCCAAAAAUAAUGGUAU